GCUCGUUCUCCUGCAGGUUUGACCAAGACGCCUCUGUCCACGCUGGGACUGAAGCCGCAUCAUCAGGCCGGAUCAGACUCUGAUUCUAACGACGGAGAGCACGAUAAUCGCAGUUUUGAGGAUUCGAGACAGUUCAACGCUCCCUUCUGCUCCAGCAGCCCGGUCCACAGUGCUGACGGGUG